CCUACGGGAGGCAGCAGUGAGGAAUAUUGGUCAAUGGGCGCGAGACUGAACCAGCCAAGUAGCGUGAAGGAUGACGGCCCUACGGGUUGUAAACUUCUUUUAUAAAGGGAUAAAGUGAGGCACGUGUGACGUUUUGUAUGUACUUUAUGAAUAAGGAUCGGCUAACUCCGUGCCAGCAGCCGCGGUAAUACGGAGGAUCCGAGCGUUAUCCGGAUUUAUUGGGUUUAAAGGGAGCGUAGGUGGGUUGUUAAGUCAGUUGUGAAAGUUUGCGGCUCAACCGUAAAACUGCAGUGGAUACUGGCUGCCUUGAGUGCAGGUGAGGUAGGCGGAAUUCGUGGUGUAGCGGUGAAAUGCUUAGAUAUCACGAAGAACUCCGAUUGCGAAGGCAGCUUACUAAACUGCCACUGACAUUGAUGCUCGAAAGUGUGGGUAUCAAACAGGAUUAGAUACCCGUGUAGUC
rnacentral:rRNA from 1 species